AGAGAGUUUGAUCCUGGCUCAGGAUGAACGCUGGCGGCGUGCCUAACACAUGCAGGUCGAACGGGUUAAGGGAAAUUUCGGAUGGAACUUAACUUAGUGGCGGACGGGUGAGUAACGCGUGGAUAACCUGCCUCACACUGGGGGAUAGCAGCUGGAAACGGCUGGUAAUACCGCAUAAGACCACGAUGCCGCAUGGCACCGGGGUAAAAGAUUUAUCGGUGUGAGAUGGAUCCGCGUCUGAUUAGCCAGUUGGCGGGGUAACGGCCCACCAAAGCGACGAUCAGUAGCCGGCCUGAGAGGAUGAACGGCCACAUUGGGACUGAGACACGGCCCAAACUCCUACGGGAGGCAGCAGUGGGGAAUAUUGCACAAUGGGCGCAAGCCUGAUGCAAGCAACGCCGCGUGAGUGAAGAAGUAUUUCGGUAUGUAAAGCUCUAUCGGCAGGGAAGAAAGGCCCGAAAGGGAGAUGACGGUACCUGACUAAGAAGCCCCGGCUAACUACGUGCCAGCCGCCGC
rnacentral:rRNA from 1 species